CCCGCUGAGUUUAAGCAUAUC
rnacentral:snRNA from 1 species